rnacentral:rRNA from 1 species
CAGCCGCCGCGGUAAUACCGGCGGCCCGAGUGGUGGCCGCUCUUAUUGGGCCUAAAGCGUCCGUAGCCGGGUUGGGAAGUCCUCCGGGAAAUCUGGCCGCUUAACGGUCAGAAUGCCGGAGGAUACUCCCAGCCUAGGGAGCGGGAGAGGCCGAGGGUAUUCCCGGAGUAGGGGUGAAAUCCUAUAAUCCCGGGAGGACCACCUGUGGCGAAGGCGCUCGGCUGGAACGCGUCCGACGGUGAGGGACGAAGGCCAGGGGAGCAAACCGGAUUAGAUACCCGGGUAGUCCUGGCUGUAAACGAUGCGGACUUUGUGUCGGACAAGCUAUGAGCUUGUCCGGUGCCGGAGGGAAACCGUUAAGUCCGCCGCCUGGGGAGUACGGCCGCAAGGCUGAAACUAAAAGGAAUUGGCGGG